rfam:Triticum aestivum genome assembly, contig: Triticum_aestivum_CS42_TGACv1_scaffold_061566_1DL
GUGAGCCGCAUGCGGGGAGACCCGCACAUACGGUUUUCAGGGGGAUCCGGCGACGAAGAAUAAAACUAUCGCUAU